rnacentral:rRNA from 1 species
GACGAACGCUGGCGGCGUGCUUAACACAUGCAAGUCGAACGCUGAAGCCCUUUCGGGGGUGGAUGAGUGGCGAACGGGUGAGUAACACGUGGGUAAUCUGCCCUGCACUCUGGGAUAAGCCUUGGAAACGGGGUCUAAUACCGGAUAGGACACAUCGCCGCAUGGUGUGUGUGUGGAAAGUUCCGGCGGUGCAGGUUGAGCCCGCGGCCUAUCAGCUUGUUGGUGGGGUGAUGGCCUACCAAGGCGACGACGGGUAGCCGGCCUGAGAGGGUGACCGGCCACACUGGGACUGAGACACGGCCCAGACUCCUACGGGAGGCAGCAGUGGGGAAUAUUGCACAAUGGACGACAGUCUGAUGCAGCGACGCCGCGUGGAGGAAGGCGCCUUUCGGGGUGUAAACUCCUUUUUUAGGGGACGAUUGUGACGGUACCCUAAGAAUAAGAGCCUGCUAACUACGUGCCAGCAGCCGCGGUAA